AUACCCAUGUAUACACUCAUUCACAAUUCCCACACACAACACUGUAACACGACCAUACACAACAUGUACACAAUUGUCUUAGUUUGCCAUGUAGAAAUAUACAAACAGAAAUAUUCAGACUUUGGUUAAAAGAAAUUUAAUUUAAUAAUUAUAUUUAUUUAGCAGAGGUGUCCCUGGACUUUAUUGACAAAAUAUUUUGUUUUCAGAAUAAAAAGUUGUGUCCAAAUCAGUAACAAUUGUACUUUCUGUUCAGGACAUUCAAUCAUGACAGGAUCCAGGUGGAUGCUGUCCAUUGAUGAAAGAGUUUGUUCAGCGGUUUCUGGAUAGAAUUAAUUCCAAAGAUGGGAAAAAGUGCACAUCCAGACAAGGAGCAAGCAAAAAGACAAGGAACUUGGUGCAGAGAAAAGCUGUGGCCAUUAACCCCCAUGUGAACAGCUUCAUGCAGUCCCUGAUUGAGUUCGAAUGGACGACUUCAAAGUAAAGGCCACUGUGGUCUGUCUGCCACAGUUUAAUGCAUUUAUUUUUAGUGUUAAAUGAAAUUUAAGUAGAAUAUUUAAAACUAUGGGCCAGUGUUCUUUUUACCACAGUGAAAUGUUACCUUUUAGUCGAUGAUGGACUUUAAACUGAAAACUUCAAACUAUGGAACAGUGUUCUAUUUGCCAGAGUUAAAUAUGUUACAGCAGGGGUCUCCAAACUUGUUUAUACUUGUUGAUUUUAUUUUAUGUUACUUGAUUAUAUGUUUAUUAUUGUUUAAAAUCUUGUUUUAAAUAUGUUUGUUUCAAUUAAAUGUUUUUUUAAAUAAAAUUUUGAUACAUA